rnacentral:rRNA from 1 species
CUUGUAAUUGGAAUGAUGGGAAUUUAAACCUCUUCCAGAGUAUCAAUUGGAGGGCAAGUCUGGUGCCAGCAGCCGCGGUAAUUCCAGCUCCAAUAGCGUAUAUUAAAAUUGUUGCAGUUAAAAAGCUCGUAGUUGAAUUUCUGCUGCAUUGCUUUUGCUCCUUUACGAGUCUUUGCAUUGUGGCUUAUUUCGGACUUUGUUUUACAAUGUCCGGAUGUUUACUUUGAGAAAAUUAGAGUGCUCAAAGCAGGCUUUCGCCUUGAAUAGUUUAGCAUGGAAUAAUAAAGUAGGACUUUGGUUCUAUUUUGUUGGUUUUAGGUACCAAAGUAAUGGUUAAUAGGAACAGUUGGGGGCAUUCGUAUUUAACUGUCAGAGGUGAAAUUCUUAGAUUUGUUAAAGACGAACUACUGCGAAAGCAUUUGCCAAGGAUGUUUUCAUUAAUCAAGAACGAAAGUUAGGGGAUCGAAGACGAUCAGAUACCGUCGUAGUCCUACCC